rnacentral:rRNA from 1 species
UUUUCAUCAUAGCGGGGAAAAGAAACUACCCAGGAUUCCCUUAGUAACGGCGAGUGAACAGGGAUUAGCCCAGCACCGAAGCCUUCAGUCGUUUGACCGUAUGGCAAUGUGGUGUUUAGGCUGGUACGCUCUGAAACUUCAUUGUGCUAAGUUCAUUCAUGAAUAUGGCUAGACAUCUGGCCCAGAGAGGGUGAAAGGCCCGUUUGUACAGUGAGGUUUUGGAUCAAUAUCAGCUUUGGAGUCGGGUUGUUUGUGAAUGCAGCCCAAAGUUGGUGGUAAACUCCAUCUAAGGCUAAAUACUGGCACGAGUCCGAUAGCGAACAAGUACCGUGAGGGAAAGUUGAAAAGUACUCUGAAGAGAGAGUUAACAGUGCGUGAAACCGCUUAGAAGUAAACUGGUGUAGUCAAACUGCAAGCCUUCAGAAGUUUGUUGGUCAGAAUGGCGUCAGUCUGAGCAUAGAGUCGUUGUCAGGGUCCACCGUAACGGUGGGAUCGUCUUUUUCGGAAGGUGGUCUUGUGGUGCUAGCAUAGAUGCUGCAUACCCGGGCACCGGUUGCUCUGCUGGCCCGCAUAUUUUCUGCUGGCGUUUGUCACGAUCGCUGCUGCUGUCAGUCUGCUCCGCCUAAACCGUUACGUGAUAAGUGUUUGUCUUUUUGCGUUUCGGGGGCAGGUUUUCCGGUCAUUUAAAACAAUUGACUGGGCGUUAAAGCCGGGUGGAGUAGUGAUUGUAAACUGUGCAGUACAGCGGUACAGCGGCAGGUUGUGGUUUUGUCUGGGUGCGCUAAAGUCGUUUCUGCAUAGUUGUAGUAUGACCGUUUGUCGCUGUCACUGACAGCCUAUCGGUUUCUAUGACGUGCAGAAUUCGCGGAUGCGCCUGGGUAACCAUUUCGCUGUGCCUAUAAACUGGGACUUAAUGGGAGACGAUCACCUGACCC